GGGCUUGACAUCCCACGAACCUGCCCGAAAGGGUCGGGUGCCUCCAAGGGAGUAUGGAGACAGGUGGUGCAUGGCUGGCGUCAGCUCGUGUCGUGAGAUGUUGGAUUAAGUCCCGCAACGAGCGCAACCCUCACCCCUUGUUGCCACCGGGUCAUGCCGAGCUCUCUAGGGGAACUGCCAGCGUCAAGCUGGAGGAAGGCGGGGAUGACGUCAAGUCAUCAUGCCCCUUACGCCCUGGGCAACACACGUGCAACAAUUGCCGGUCCAAAGGGAUGCAAGACCGCGAGGUGGAGCUAAUCCCAAAAACCCAGUCGAAGUUCAGAUUCCAGUCUGCAACUCGACUGCAUGAAGGAGGAAUCGCUAGUAAUCGCGCAUCACCACGGCGCAGUAAAUACGUUCUCGGGCCUUGUACACACCGCCCGUCACACCACGAAAGCCAGCUGAACUCGAAGGGGCUGAG
rnacentral:rRNA from 1 species